rnacentral:rRNA from 1 species
CGUGAGUAACCUGCCCUUGACUUCGGGAUAACUCCGGGAAACCGGGGCUAAUACCGGAUAUGAGCCGUCCUCGCAUGGGGGUGGUUGGAAAGUUUUUCGGUCAGGGAUGGGCUCGCGGCCUAUCAGCUUGUUGGUGGGGUGAUGGCCUACCAAGGCGACGACGGGUAGCCGGCCUGAGAGGGCGACCGGCCACACUGGGACUGAGACACGGCCCAGACUCCUACGGGAGGCAGCAGUGGGGAAUAUUGCACAAUGGGCGAAAGCCUGAUGCAGCGACGCCGCGUGAGGGAUGAAGGCCUUCGGGUUGUAAACCUCUUUCAGCAGGGAAGAAGCGCAAGUGACGGUACCUGCAGAAGAAGCGCCGGCUAACUACGUGCCAGCAGCCGCGGUAAUACGUAGGGCGCAAGCGUUGUCCGGAAUUAUUGGGCGUAAAGAGCUCGUAGGCGGUUUGUCGCGUCUGGUGUGAAAACUCGAGGCUCAACC